AACGGCCGCGGUAUUCUGACCGUGCAAAGGUAGCAUAAUCAUUUGUCUCUUAAUUGGGGACUGGAAUGAAUGGAGUGACGGAGGAUUGAUUGUCUCUUUUUUUUUUUUUGAAUUUUCCUUUUUGAUGAAGAGGUCUAUAUAAUAGAAUAAGACGAGAAGACCCUAUUGAUCUUUAUUUUUUUUAGUAAAUUCUUUUAUUUUUUUUUUUAUUUCUUUGGAUUUGGUUGGGGCAACUGGGGAGGAUAGCUAUUCUCCUUUUUUAUAUUUAGAUCCAAUAUUGUUGAUAGUAAGACUGAGUUACCAUAGGGAUAACAGCGUAAUUUUUCCGGAGAGUUCAUAUCGAUGGGGGAGAUUGCGACCUCGAUGUUGGACUAAAAUAACCGAAGGGUGUAGAUUGUCCU
rnacentral:rRNA from 1 species